rnacentral:rRNA from 1 species
GUCCUUUAGAUUAAAUAAUUUAAGGUCUAACCUGCCCACUGAUAAAUUUAAAGGCCGCAGUAAUUUGACUGUGCAAAGGUAGCAUAAUCAUUAGUUUUUUAAUUAAAAGCUUGUAUGAAUGGUUGGACGAGAUAAAAUCUGUCUCUAAUUAAUAAUUAGAAUUUAAUUUUUAAGUUAAAAAGCUUAAAUUUAUAUAAAAGACGAGAAGACCCUAUAGAUCUUAAUAUAAAAUUUUAAAAUUUUAUUUAAGAUUAUUUUAUUAAUUUUAUUAUUUUAUAUUUUAUUGGGGUAAUAAAAAGAUUAAAUAAAUUCUUUUUUAUAUUUAACAAUAGUAAUUGAUUAUUUGAUCCAUUAAUAGUGAUUAUAAGAUUAAGUUACCUUAGGGAUAACAGCGUAAUUUUUUUAGAGAGUUCAUAUCGAUAAUAAAGUUUGCGACCUCGAUGUUGGAUUAAAAAUUAUUUUGGGUGUAGAAGUUCAAAAUUUUGGUCUGUUCGACCAUUAAAUUUUUACAUGAUCUGAGUUCAGACCGGCGUAAGCCAGGUCGGUUUCUAUCUUUAUAAAAUUUAUAUAUUUUAGUACGAAAGGACCAAGUAUUUAAUAUAUUAAUAUUUUAAAUUUGAUUAA